GGCGAAGGCAGCUUGCUGGGGCACAACUGACCCUGAAACACGAAAGCGUGGGGAUCAAAAAGGAUUAAGAGUGGCCACAAACAAGGAUACGAUGUAAAAAAUCGUAGGUGGCGCUAGUCCCCAUGCGCAGAGAUAUGCGCAUGGUUAAAAAAUUCAACUAUAUGCUGGAAAAUCCGAGUAUCUUUAAGUACUGCGAUUUAUCGCAGUGAAAAUCUUAAAGUGCGGACAAUCAGCAGGAAACUUCAAAAAGAACUAUUACUAAGAAAGGAGUGAAAACUAAUGCGUAAAAUAAAGAAGAGACCAAAGCGGAAGAUGAGACAGAAAAUGGAACGUACGGAAAGCAUUGAGAAUAGAUUCUCAAUAUAUUUUCAAGCUUGGGAUUCCAUACUCAAAGCGCUAAAGCCGCAAAAGGAACCAAAAGGCGGCUAUGUACGCAGUUCAGAAUACGAUCAUUGGUAAAGUUUUUAUUGAAGAAUCCUCAGAGACUAUACGUUGAACACAAGUUAAAUAAAUGGGCGAACGAGUUAAAACUUUAGUAGCCCAAGUAUUUUUCUUAUGAUGAUAUAGUCCGAACUCGCCAGCGAUGGCGAGAGACCGGCAGAAAUGUCCGGUCCAACUCAAGAACCCGCCAAAAGCUAACGCAUUUAGGCGGGCAAGUCGGUGCUAAUUUUUGGAAAAAAAAGAGGUUAUUUGUUUGACCUCUGAUUGAGAUAUGUCUUUAGCCAGAAUUUCCAGUUGAUCAUGACAUAGAAAACCAAUACGACAAGGAUGGCCUUACCUACUAUAAUGGGAAAUUCAUACAUAUAUUGUCCUCCUUCUGAUUAAAGUCUAGCAUAGAGACAUAUUUUUAUCAAGCUCUAAUCUUGACCCCGCAAAAAAGAGCGGGGCAGGCUCCAAAAAUUAGCACCGAUUAUCAAAUCUUGAGCACUUGGGUGUCCGACACCCAAGUUAGUAACAAAAUGUAGAUACCCUUGUAGUCCACGCCCUAAACGAUGAUGACUAGCCAUUGGAAGUAUCGACCCUUCGAGUGGCGAAGCUAACGCGUUAAGUCAUCCGCCUGGGAAGUACGAACGCAAGUUUAAAACUCAAAGGAAUAGACGGGGACUCGCACAAGCGGUGGAGCAUGUGGUUCAAUUCGAUGGUAAACGAAAAACCUCACCAGGGCUUGAAAUUCCGACGAUAAGUCCCGUGAAAGCGGGAUGUCUCACAAGGACGUCGGAACAGGUGCUGCAUGGCUGUCGUCAGUUCGUGGCUUGAGCUGUUCCCUUAAGUGGAAGUACGAACGCAAGUUUAAAACUCAAAGGAAUAGACGGGGACUCGCACAAGCGGUGGAGCAUGUGGUUCAAUUCGAUGGUAAACGAAAAACCUCACCAGGGCUUGAAAUUCCGACGAUAAGUCCCGUGAAAGCGGGAUGUCUCACAAGGACGUCGGAACAGGUGCUGCAUGGCUGUCGUCAGUUCGUGGCUUGAGCUGUUCCCUUAAGUGGGGUAACGAACGCAACCCCUGCCCCGUGUUAUACGUGUCACGGGGGACUACUCUGAUUUUCGGAGGGGAAGGUGGGGAUGACGCCAAGUCAGCAUGGCCCUCUGAUGCCCUGGGCUACACACGUGCUACAAUGGGACGUACAAUGGGCCGCAAUACCGAGAGGUGGAGCUAAUCCCUUAAAACGUCCCCCAGUUCAGAUUGAGGUCUGCAACUCGACCUCAUGAAGACGGAAUCGCUAGUAAUCGCAGGUCAGCUAUACUGCGGUGAAUACGUUCUCGAGUCUUGUACUCAC
rnacentral:rRNA from 1 species